rnacentral:lncRNA from 1 species
UGCUGCUCCCGGAAUUUAAUGAGGUCAUGUUCACUAAGGAGUUGACUUCUGCAUCAAGGUGAAGACAGAGAGUGCAAGCUAAGGGGAGAGACUGGGGCCUGCAUGAGUCUCUAUCAGAGGCAUUAGGACCAGGACUCAGAUUCAGUGAUCGUUGUUCUAGUUUUGUUCCCACAUUCCUGCUGUCUGCGUUGUUUUGUGUCACUUGGACAUUUCUUUGUACCCCAUUUUACAUAUCCCAGCUGAGUGUACCUUCUUCUUUCAAAAAGUUUUUUGUUUCUUUUUGCAAAAAUUUCUUAGCUGUGUCACUGUCUAAUUAGAAUCAUUGUUUCCAUCCAUUUCACAUGAACUAUGGAACUCUUAGCACCAUGUAAAUCCCUUUGCUCUGUUCCUUGAUGCUGUCAUUGUCCUACUUUUCUGUGUUAGGCACGGGAACCCCAGAAGACAGUGUCAUCUCUGCGCUUCAUCUUUCUGGAGACGUGGCUGUCAGGGACUUCUGUGACCUCCAUGUUCCAGCAGCCAGCUGCUUCCCAUUGGUGCUCCAUGGAAGCCACCGGGCCCAGCUGCUCUCAGGUCCAUGGUCGGCUGCUACCUCUGCCUGAGCCUCGGGCUCUGGGCUGAAGCAGCGUGCGAAGUGGAAAAUCGUGGACCUGUUUCUCUGAUCCAGCAUAGAGACCUUUUAAGGUGAGUGAGGAAGACUUCCUGUUUCCUUUUGUGAUUCUUCCCUGUCAGCCUGUGCCAUGCCAUUCUUCUUUGCAUAUUGCUCUUUGAUUCUGCCGCUGUGCUGGGCAUGCUGGGAGUUCUACUACUGCUGUGGAUUGCUUAGCACUUUUCUGAAUGUGAGCUCAUGCUAGGGGAGAACAGGGGUGAUUCUGCCUCUCCCAGGAUGGUUGCUUUUCACUUCCUUUUUUGCCUGCAGUGGCACUGCUGAAGACCAUUUUUUUUGUUUCUGUUUUUUGAAAUAUUGAUUUAUUUGAAAGGCAGAGUUAUAAGACAGACAGAGUUCUUCUAUCCACUGGUUCAUUCCAAAUGGCCACAGUGGCUACUGGGACGGUCAAAGCCAGGAGCUUCAUGGAGGUCUCACACAUAGGGCAGGGCCCUAAGUACUUGGGCCAUCCUCUGCUGUUUCCCAGGCACAGUAGCAGGGAGCCGCACCAGAAGUGGAGCACUUGGACU